UUGAGGCUCUUGCCAUAGCCGCCCGUCACCUCUCCAGCUGGGAGAGCCGCGCGGGGCUGCUGGAGAGGUGACGGGCGGCUAUGGCAAGAGCCUCAA